GUAUAUUGUAACUUGAAAACUAGCUAAUAUGGAGACAAAGUCCCCAAUAACAGUAGAAAAAUCAAUAAAAAAAAAAAAAAUUGGGAAAAUUUUCCCGAAAUUUUCAUUGUACUAAUGAACUUAAAAUUGUUCAUUUUUUUUUUUUUUUUAUGUUAUGUUUUGAAUUCCCGUAUCUGCGCAGAAAUCUACAAUGUACUUCCUUUUUCUGGUCUCGUUUGUAUGAAACAUUGAGUAAAAUAUAUAUUUAUCAGUCUAGUAUAAAAUAGGAAAGAACGCAAUACCAAUUUCAUUUUUAAUAAUUCCUUUAUAUGAAAAAACGUUACCUGGUGAUAGCGUUUCUUUGUUUACAUUGCAUAUGACGUCAUAACUUAAGUAACGUCACAACUAAAAUCCCUAAAAAUAGAACCAAAAUCGGAAGCGUUACGGUAUUUCCGUUUCUUUUUUUAAAAAAAUAUUUAAGUAACAAAAAAAUAAUUCAUACAGACUUCGUCCCCAUUUACAGGUAAUGCCUGCCUCAUAUAAGGUAUUAUCUAUAUUUACUCCUGUAAGAUAACUGCUAAAGCUCUACAGUGUAUAUCUGACGAUUAUAAUCAUGAUAAUAAGUAUUUGACAUUAUUUUGAAAUCAGAAAAAGUGAAGGAUGACAGGAUGGCCCGCUAAAAAAACUGUACCUCAGUCAUCACUUCUUUUGUUUGCUAUAAACUCAUUCCAGACAUUGAAAAGAC
rnacentral:lncRNA from 1 species